GAUGAACGCUGGCGGCGUGCCUAAUACAUGCAAGUCGAGCGAAGGGACGAGAAGCUUGCUUCUCUGAUGUUAGCGGCGGACGGGUGAGUAACACGUGGAUAACCUACCUAUAAGACUGGGAUAACUUCGGGAAACCGGAGCUAAUACCGGAUAAUAUUUUGAACCGCAUGGUUCAAGAGUGAAAGACGGGCUUGCUGUCACUUAUAGAUGGAUCCGCGCUGCAUUAGCUAGUUGGUAAGGUAACGGCUUACCAAGGCAACGAUGCAUAGCCGACCUGAGAGGGUGAUCGGCCACACUGGAACUGAGACACGGUCCAGACUCCUACGGCAGGCAGCAGUAGGGAAUCUUCCGCAAUGGGCGAAAGCCUGACGGAGCAACGCCGCGUGAGUGAUGAAGGCCUUCGGAUCGUAAAACUCUGUUAUUAGGGAAGAACAUCUGUGUAAGUAACUGUGCACAUCUUGACGGUACCUAAUCAGAAAGCCACGGCUAACUACGUG
rnacentral:rRNA from 1 species